rnacentral:rRNA from 1 species
GUCGAGAAUCUUUCACAAUGGGGGCAACCCUGAUGGAGCGACGCCGCGUGGAGGAUAAGGUCUUCGGAUUGUAAACUCCUGUCAUGCGUGAACAAGGUUGCUUGGUUAAUACCUGGGCAAAUUGAUGGUAACGCAAGAGGAAGAGACGGCUAACUCUGUGCCAGCAGCCGCGGUAAUACAGAGGUCUCAAGCGUUGUUCGGAAUCACUGGGCGUAAAGGGUGCGUAGGUGGCGUGGUAAGUCAGAAGUGAAAGCCCGGGGCUCAACCUCGGAACUGCAUCCGAUACUGCCAUGCUAGAGUACUGGAGAGGUGACUAGAAUUCUCGGUGUAGCAGUGAAAUGCGUAGAUAUCGAGAGGAAUACCAAAGGCGUAGGCAGGUCACUGGACAGUUACUGACACUGAGGCACGAAGGCCAGGGGAGCGAACGGGAUUAGAAACCCGGGUAGUCC